UCCACCACAGUCUAGUGGCUAGGAUUUGUCGCUUUCAUUGGUCUCUCAACAACCACAGAGCCGACAAGGCCGGGGUUCGAUUCCCCGUGUCGGAA